CACUCUGGCCCAAACUCUCUUAUUUGCCGCCUCUGCUUUCGACGACAAUGGGGUUUCCUCUCCUCAUCGGACAGUUCCGUCGGCGCCGCCGAGCUCGCACGGCGAGGCUGACCACUGCUCGAUAUCCUAACUCCAACCCAGCCAACUCCCACCCGUAGACCCUAAUUCUAAGGCAGCCUAAUCCCUCGCCAUGGAGGAUUCCCUCGUGCCGCCUGUGCCUCCUGCCCCAACCACCCUUUUCCUCACUCGCCGGCGAUCACAUCUCGACAGCGCCUCCUACCGCACGCUCUCCCGGCUCUUCUCCCACUGCCUCCACCAUCGCCCCUCGCAGCUCGCUGCCCCGGCGCCCCUGGAAGUCGAGCCCGCCGCUGCGAACCCUAUAUGCGACGAGUCGCCACAGGGGUGCUCGGUACCGCCUGAAGACGCCGAGUCUGAACGGGGAAAGGACUUAGGAGAAGAGGAGACUGCGGUAAGGACUUCUGUCAUCGAGAACCCCUCACCCGCGGCAGUCGAUGCAGCCACCGGUAACCCUAUUGCAGACCCGGCUGUGGCACCACAGAGAUACAUGGAGCAUCAAGUGGCCGGGGUUCAGCGGGUGGAGGGCGUAACAGAUAUGGUUGUUGGGGGAAACGUCUGCCGUGAGACAGUUGCGUUACUGGAGGAGUUGGGGGCAGAGGAUGUUUUGAGGUCGAUGAAGGAUUGUUUGGAGGGGGAGGUUGACGAAUUGGCAGAGCCAGGUGUAGUGGUGGUCAAUGAUGAUGAACAUCUGCUGCUUGAUACGAUGAUGACCAACUUCUCAGGGUUGAUUGCUGAUGCCAGUGGCGGCACAACGUCAAUGCUGAACUACGGGGUUUCUGGAGGUGAACCACACAAUGAUGGCAACAUAGCUGAGGGGGUGAAAGAAUUGGGAGCUGGAACUGAAGAAGACAGACCUAUGGGUGAUUCAGAUCAGCACUCAGUUGAUGGUGGCGUGGUUGAGGAAGGAGAGAUUGAGGGUGACAUGCAGGCUCUGGAUGUAGAUGAAUCUGAUGAUUCGGAGCUCAAAGAUGCAGAUGAUGAGGAAUUGGGAGAGGAUUUUGCUAACAGAGUGUUGGGGGAGAAUGAAUCAUCUGGCCAGGACAUACGGUGUCUGAAUUUGCUUUCAACGCCUAAAAUUAAAGGAACCAGCGAUCUUGUACUGAACAAGGAAGGUUAUAUCAAGGAUGAUGCACUAAAGCAUGUUACCAGGGCGCAGGCUGUCAGUUAUGAUGAAAUUGUGGAAUGGAAUGAGACACCACUGCCUGAUACUGAGGCUCCCAAACCAGGGAAGAGAAAACGGCAUUUGACAGAGGAAAGAAAGGCUAAGAAGACGAAAAACAAACGGGUUAAGAGAGCACAGCAGCGGAUAGCGGAUGGUGUGAAAAGACUGAAACUUGCACCAGUUAUAAAGCCGAAACCAGUGAAGUUAUGCCACUUCUACAUGCAUGGGAAGUGCCAGCAGGGCAAUGCUUGCAAGUUCUCACAUGAUACUACACCUUUGACAAAAUCUAAGCCCUGCACACAUUUUGCGCGCGGUUCUUGUUUGAAAGGAGAUGAUUGUCCCUAUGAUCAUGAGUUGUCAAAGUACCCUUGCCACAACUUUGUGGAAAAUGGAAUGUGCUUCAGAGGUGAUAAAUGCAAAUUUUCUCAUGUGGUGCCAACUGCAGAUGGUCCUUCCAAACCAGAUGCAAAGAAAUCUGAUGCGUCAUUGGUGUCUGAAAAACCCGGCAGAGAGCAAACAAGUAGUCAGAAAGCAUCAACGGUCCAUGAUGGCGAACGUGUAACUUCUGCUCCUACCAAACAUUACUCCAUCCUUAAAAAUCUUGCCGGCAUCUCAGUAAAUGCUCUAAAAGCAUCAACCGGUACACCAAAGGGUGUACAGUUUCGUCCUUCCAGUAAAGACAGAUCAAAUUCUAGCAUGCUGCAUCAGGAUGCUCUACCCAUCGAGAAGCAUAUGUAUACAAAUGGCAGUAAACAUCAGAAUUUUGGUGGACCGCAGGCUGAAGAAGGGGACAAAAAUGGCAUUCCAAAUAAACAGAGAUCAGCUCCACUGUUCGAUGAGAAGAACUCAUCAAAAGAAGCUAGUUCACAUCCAAGUUCAGACCCAGAGAGAACUAGUUUGCCUACUGGCUCUACUACAGUGCUUGGAUCACUCAGCACUCAGCACGAAGUUUCAGAGGCUUCAAGAAUUUUGCAGGAAUUCCUAUUUGGCGCUGGCAGUUAGAGGAAAAAUUAGGCUAAGUGCCACCGUGGGUACAUGAAGAUUCGUUAUUAUCCAGUCAACUCACUUCCAACUGCAUAUGGUACUUCCAUUUAGUAAAUCAUUUGUAGCAUUAGAUCUAAGCUUACUGGUAUGAUAAAUGCCUUCCUGAAUCGGUGCUUUGAUGAGUCAUCUCUCACAUAUGAUUCAUUUUAACCACGCUUUGGAAGUUGCUCUGAGUUUAAUGAGUGUGCGGAUUUUUAAAUGUUACCUUGUCGUAGUUGAGGUGUUAGUAAUUUUUAGUUCAUUUUGUUGAAUCUUGAUACUUGAUACCACUAAUUUAGUGAUGAAUUUUACAUCUGUGGUAAUAGUAUUAGAGCAUCUACAACCACGGAUAGCUAAUCCGAGCCCCUAUACGCCCGCGGACAGUGACCAGACGAGCAUCAAAACUUGGCAUUUGCAACCACGGUCCCUGUUUUCAAAACACCAAAUCCAUGCAAACACAUGCACGUCGAUCAUUUUGGACAAACAUAGCUUAGUGCACACAAAUACAAAUAGUUCAUAAUUAAUAGUACAUAAUCCAAACAUAGUUCAAACAUAAAUAUUGUUCAUAGUGCAUAACUAAUAAAAUAAAAGACAAGUUUACUGAUUUCCAGUGUGGUCCACAUUUGCUCGACAAGAUCACCCAGAAGUUGCAUAUACACUUGUUGAUCUCGCAGCUGUGGAUGCUCAUCAUCAUCAUCAUCAUCAUCAUUUCGGCAUCCUCAUCCUCCGAAUCAGAUGACGCGAUGAACUCGUUGAAUAUGAAUUCAUCUAGAUCAUUGUUUCCAUCGCCAUCAUUCCACGAUGAUUCCAUUGGUGACCUAGAAGUAAUGACCGAAAGAAUAAAAAACCGGCUCGGACAUUCAUCGAACACGUAGAGCGCGGGGUGAAAGUAUGGUGGAGUUUGACGUACCGGGGCGGCGUUCGGUGGCGGCCUGGUCGGCGGCGGUGUGCGUUGGGGCGUCCGAUGGCGAAGCCCUGAGUUGGGAAUGGCGGCGAAGCACCGAUAGCGGCGGAAGUCCGGUGCGGCUGUGCGGAGGAGGGAGAACAGAGAAGAGGAGAGGGCUUCUCGGGCAAGGAGAGGGGAGGCGGAUAUGAGUGAAUUGAGCGGGCCCUAGUGGUCAGCCCGACGUGGUGGGCGCGUCCGGGCGUCCCCAUAUCCUCCCCAUAUUUGGGCCGGAUAUGGGGAGUGCCGGUCAGUUCGGGCGUUUGGGUUGGCUAUGGGGAGGCUGGUUGGGUGGCGUUUUUCCGUCCGGGGACAGCCAGUCCAGGCGUUUGGGGCGGGUAUUCGGAGUCCGGUUGUAGAUGCUCUUAUAUUAUGUUUUUUGACUUGGCAUUGCUUACUGCCGCCCAAGUAUAAUUUUGACCAUGAGUUGUAUCAUAAUUAUUUGAAACCGUUGGGCAAGUGAUUGGUCCAGCGGCUGGUUGCUGGUGCAACCGAUCGCUGAAAUAGUCUAAAAGAACAGUUCAAUGAUGUUAUGUUUAAAUAUUUAUCUACUAAUUAAUUCAGUUUUCAUUUGUAUGACAUAGUAGACCGCUGAUAUAAGUUGUAGUUCUUUCUCUGGAAGCACUGAAGCGUUCUGCCACCUGUUUUCUUGGGUCCUUGGAGAGCAUUUGUAGUGGAGGGGCGGUCUUUGGUACCGGUUUUCACUAAUUCUACAGGCGGCCUAAUUUCAUGAAGAGUUUUUGCGACAAUAUAUGUUCAUGGUAUAAAAAUUGUGAGAUUGUUCAAGUAUUUUCCUUUUAUGACCAAUUUACUUCUUCACUUGUGAUUUGUGAGACAAAUUCAAAGAUUAAAAACCAAUGUUUGGGUGCAUUCUUCCCACGGCAA